AACUCUCAGCAUCCUACCCGAUCUGUUGUUGUGACAAUUGCAUUGCAUUGAUCGGGGGGAGGUAGGCAGCUACUUCCCGUCACCUGGCUUCUGGAUUGUGGAGGAUGCAAUGCUGCCCCCAAUUGGGGCCUCCUUUGCUUCUCUGAAAUGGAGUGCCGUUACGACUGUAACGUUGGGCCCGAACCUGGCACCGGUAUGAUACACUCUUCUUACCUGUGUCUGGUCCAUUUGAGCCGUGUCCAAU
rnacentral:misc_RNA from 1 species